AAUAGACCAGAACUGGAAAGGACCCACAAGGAUCAUUGUGAACAGGCUCUGUCCCUGUAAGGACAAUCCCAAACCCUCUCCGCUGAGCAACCCAAGGGAUAAAGUUCAUUCCCCAAUCAAUUCAUUCCUCCAGGGGGAAAUGAGAAAAAGGCUCGAAAAAGCAAUGAGGAAAGGCUGCUCAGCCUCCAACACCAGGUAUCAAAAAUCCCACAGUGCAAACACCUCCGUCCCGUUUCCCCGAAAGCUUUUCACACCAUGCUCCUCCCUCCACGUUAUCACACUGGCACGAGCCUCCUCAUCCUGUGUUUGUUAAAAGUGUCUCCAUGGGAGGCUGGUGCAGCUCCCAGCUCCAAGAUGGAGCAAGACAGACUCUCAUCUUGCCCACUUUUCACACGGUUAUGAGUGCACAGCUCCAGGAUGACUGAGUCUCACCCUGCACAAAGGCAUUUGCCUGCACAGAGCCCUGGUUUCAGUCUGUGGGCUGACACACAGAGUGAUUUCAGUGCAGACAUGAGGCAGCGCAGCUCUUCCUGCAUCAGCUCACACCUGCUUCACAAAGCUGCUCUCCAUCCAACACACACAGCCUGUUUGCAAGCUCCGUGUAUGUUUGCAUAACCUCGGGUUUUUUUGGCCGGAAACCAGGCUUUUGGGAGGAUUUCUCAGGCUUUCAAAACCCAUCAUGGUGCUGGGGCCGUGAGUACGUGUGCUCUAACCACACAACGUGACAGGCGGGAGGAAGGAGCAGCGGCCACGGGAGGGAGAGAUGGGCCUGUCCAAGCUGUGAAAGCAGACGUUUUGGGAUCACACCUUGCUUUUUUUCCCUCUCCUCAGAGAUAUUUUCUUUCAAACAUCAUAAAAAGGUAUUGGAUAUUCUUUCAAGGAUGCCCAGGAGAGAGUGCAGAAGGAAAGCCAGCCUGCAGCGUGGCUCUGUGGAUAACUGAUUGCUUUGCUCAUUUUGGUCUGACCCAGAACAAAUAUGUUUCAUUUUUCCAAUGAGCUGGUAAAAAAAAUACAGUCCCCUUAUUUCUAGUUUACUUAGAGCUGUUUUUUUUCCCCAUUUUCUUUUUUUUAUUCUCUUCUUAAUGCAGGGCAAUUUCAGAACAAAAAGCUGAAAUCGAGACUUGAAAAAUCACUUUUCAAGGUUUUCUUAUUCUUGUCAAUACGAUUUUCCCCGUUCAGCCUGAUUUCACAAACCAUUUACAGUCACCUUGAAACACCUUUUUUGGCCCUUUCACUGCUCAGCAGUCACCCUGCCCAGCUGUGGUCCCAGUGCCCCCCAGCCAGGGCAGCAGGGCACCCCAGCAGCAGCAGCAGCAGCAGCAGCCCCCAUUCAGGGUGUGUCUGGCAGUGCUGUGCUCCCCUCCACGCUGGGAUCGUGCUGGCAGCUCGG
rnacentral:lncRNA from 1 species